rnacentral:rRNA from 1 species
UACGUAGGGUGCGAGCGUUGUCCGGAUUUACUGGGCGUAAAGGGCGCGUAGGCGGUCAGCACAAGUCAGUUGUGAAAUCUCCGGGCUUAACUCGGAAAGGUCAACUGAUACUGUGCGACUAGAGUGCGGAAGGGGCAACUGGAAUUCUCGGUGUAGCGGUGAAAUGCGUAGAUAUCGAGAGGAACACCUGCGGCGAAGGCGGGUUGCUGGGCCGACACUGACGCUGAUGCGCGAAAGCCAGGGGAGCGAACGGG